rnacentral:rRNA from 1 species
GUAUGAAUGGUCAAACGAUAGUCUAACUGUCUCUUUAAAUAAAUCAGUGAAACUAAUCUCCCCGUGCAGAAGCGGGAAUGAUACCAUAAGACGAGAAGACCCUAUGGAGCUUUAAAUUUUACUUAACUAUAAUUUUAUAUUAUCCUAAGGGAAAACCUUAUACUUUUAUAUAUUAAUAAAAAUUUUAGGUUGGGGCGACCACGGAAUAAAGAAAAACUUCCGAGAUGAGAUUUAUAGAAGGACACUUCACAAAAUAGAAAAAUGUAACAUAUUGACCCAAUAAUUGAUCAACGAACCAAGUUACCCUAGGGAUAACAGCGCAAUCUUCUCCAAGAGUUCUUAUCGACGAGUAGGUUUACGACCUCGAUGUUGGAUCAGGACACCCAAAUGGUGCAGCAGCUAUUAAAGGUUCGUUUGUU